GAGGGUAUCACUUAGUGGUAGAGUGUGCCCUUAAUAUGCAUAAGGUCCUGGGUUCAAUCCCCAGUACCUCCA
rnacentral:tRNA from 1 species